AGAAAUGUGCCCGAAAAUAAGGGCUAUUUUGAUAAAAUAGACAUAGAGCCACACUCUCAUUUCUA
rnacentral:tRNA from 1 species